GUGAGCUCAUCAACCUCCUCCUCCAAGGAGGGAGGUGGCUGAGGCUCUGUCUAUUGCUGGUGGGUGGGUGGUUUCCAUCCUCAGCAUCACCAACCAAAGGAGGGGGGGACAGAGAGAGAGAGAGAGAGAGCAGUUGCUGAUGUUGUGCUCUGAAGCAACCUCAGUAGAAGGGAAAAUGGAUCCAGCUUGCACAUCCCUCGCCUUUCAACACCUUCCCUUGGUUUCAGCAUGGACUGCCCAAGGAGCUGAUGGGGCUAUCUUUACGAAUGUCACACAGUAGGUUCUGAGACAACUUUAAUGGAAAGAAAGAAAAAAUGGCUGUUCCCAUUUGAAAAAGGAUUCUCACGCACAGACUCACAACAGCCAACAGCCAUGUCAAAAAAAGGACGCAGCAAGGCUGAAAAGCCUGAGGCACUGAUCAUGUCCUUACAAGCUGCCAAUGAAGAUCUCAGGACCAAGCUAACAGACAUUCAAAUUGAGCUUCAUCAGGAGAAGUCUAAGGUAAGCAGACUCGAAAGGGAGAAAACCCAAGAAACGAAGCGGAUCCGGGAGCUGGAGCAGCGCAAGCAGACAGUGCAGAUCACUGAACUGAAAGCGAAGCUCCACGAGGAGAAGAUGAAGGAGCUGCAGGCCGUGCGGGAGAAUCUCAUCAAGCAGCACGAACAAGAAAUGGCUCGGACAAUGAAAAUCAGAGACAGUGAAAUCCAGAGGCUCAAGUCAGCCCUGUACGCGUUGCGGGAAGGGAGCAGCGACAAAGUACGGACAGCACUGACCAUUGAGGCUCGCGAAGAGGCCAGGAAACAAUUUGACUCUGAGCGCCUUAAGCUUUUGCAGGAAAUUACCGAACUCAAGUCUGCCAAAAAGCAGGUGGACGAAGCCCUGAACAACAUGAUCCAGGCGGAUAAGAUCAAAGCAGGGGAUCUUCGGAGUGAGCACCAAUCCCACCAGGAAGCAAUCUCGAAGAUCAAAUGGGAGAGCGAGAGGGAUAUCCGCAGACUGAUGGAUGAGAUCAAAGCAAAAGACAGAACUAUCUUCUCCUUGGAGAAAGAGCUGGAGACCCUGACUGGAUAUGUUCAGAAGCUUCAACUGCAGAAGGAGGCUUUGGACGAACAGCUCUUCUUAGUAAAGGAGGCCGAAUGUAACAUGAGCAGUCCCAAAAGAGAGAUCCCAGGCAGAGCAGGAGAUGGCUCUGAACACUGCAGCAGUCCUGACCUACGCAGAAACCAGAAGAGGAUGGCAGAGCUCAAUGCUACCAUACGGAAACUUGAGGACAGGAACACACUGCUGGUGGAUGAGCGGAAUGAACUGUUGAAACGUGUUCGGGAAGCUGAAAAACAAUGCAAACCUCUUCUGGAAAGAAAUAAGUGCCUCUCCAAGAGAAAUGAUGAACUCAUGCAGUCGUUGCAGCGCAUGGAGGAGAAGCUCAAAGCAAUCGCUAAGGAGAAUUUAGAAAUGAAAGAAAAAAUGACAUCACAUCCUCCUCUGAAGAAAUUAAAAUCUCUCAAUGACCUGGAUCAAGCUAAUGAAGAGCAAGAGACUGAAUUUUUGAAGCUUCAGGUUAUAGAACAACAGAACAUAAUUGAUGAAUUGACACGGGAUAGAGAGAAACUUAUUCGUCGCAGGAAGCAUAAAAGAAGUUCCAAGCCAAUCAAGAGGCAUAUAUUGGACACAGUUUAUGGGGGUGAUGAUGACUCCAUGGACUCAGAAACUUCAUCCAUGGCUUCAUUCAGGACAGACAGAACACCAGCAACUCCAGAUGAAGACCUGGAUGAAAGCUUAGCAGCUGAAGAAUCUGAGUUGCGAUUUCGACAAUUGACAAAGGAGUACCAAGCCCUGCAGAGAGCCUAUGCAUUACUGCAAGAGCAAACAGGAGGUAUCAUAGAUGCAGAACGAGAAGCCAAGGCACAGGAGCAGCUCCAAGCUGAAGUCCAGAGGUACAGAGCUAAAAUAGAGGAUCUGGAAAAAACGCUGGCACAGAGAGGACAGGACUCCCACUGGGUAGAAGAUAAGCAACUUUUUAUUAAGAGGAAUCAAGAGCUUUUGGAUAAGAUAGAAAAACUGGAAAUUGAUAACCAUCGAUUGCAACAGGAGCUGCAGGAUGCCAGAGAUCAAAAUGAGCUGUUGGAGUUUCGGAAUCUGGAGCUUGAAGAAAGAGAAAGAAGGUCUCCACCAUUUAAUCUACAAAUCCACCCAUUCUCCGAUGGUGUAAGUGCUCUGCAAAUCUACUGCAUGAAAGAAGGUGUCAAGGAUGUUAGCAUUCCAGAUCUUAUAAAACAGUUAGACAUCUUGGGCGACAAUGGGAAUUUAAGAAAUGAAGAGCAAGUGGCCAUAAUUCAAGCUAGCACCGUGUUGUCCCUGGCAGAAAAGUGGAUACAGCAGAUUGAAGGGGCUGAGGCAGCUCUGCACCAGAAGAUGAUGGAGCUGGAGAGUGACAUGGAGCAGUUCUGUAAAAUAAAAGGUUAUCUAGAGGAAGAACUGGACUACAGGAAACAAGCUCUUGACCAGGCCUAUAUGAGAAUCCAGGAGCUUGAAGCCACUUUGUACAACGCUUUGCAGCAAGAAACAGUGAUCAAAUUUGGAGAACUGCUCAGUGAGAAGCAGCAGGAGGAACUUAGGACCGCUGUUGAAAAAUUAAGACGGCAGAUGCUGAGAAAAAGCAGAGAAUAUGAUUGCCAGAUCUUGCAGGAGAGAAUGGAGUUGCUUCAGCAGGCACAUCAGAGGAUCAGAGAUUUAGAAGAUAAAACUGACAUCCAGAAGAGACAGAUCAAGGAUUUAGAAGAAAAGUUUCUUUUUCUGUUCUUGUUCUUCUCUCUUGCCUUUAUUCUUUGGCCUUGAUGUCAAAUGUGCCUCUUGAAAGGUAAGACUGCUUUCUUUGCUUUCCCUUAAAAUACUAAGCCACACACAUACCUCUUUCCAGGUUCUUAUCCAAAGCAGCACAGCAGAAUAUCUAAACCAAUGUUGAUCCAGAAACAAGAUCAAUCAAGUGUGUUUCAGACCUUCUACAAAGGGCCAUUUCAUACAUUAUGCAGAGGCCAACUUGAGUUUUCCACAGGAAGUUGUAGCCAAUCUCAGCUCCCUGAGUGGACCUUUCUGUUGUAUGUGUUUGUAAACACAUUUAUUGCACUCAGACUUUACAUUAGAUGGUUGCUGUAAUGUGUGGUGACCCUAAGGAAAUGUGGAAUGUUGCCUUUGUCCAGAAUAUAUUAUUGGUUGCUUCUAACCUUUGUCCUCUGUCCAGCAAUCCUUCCCUCAUUAUUUUCCAUAGCACAAGCUUUUGGUAAUAUAGAGUGUGAACCGUAAGUCAUCAUUUGGAGUGACUAGCUUAAGAUGCAGAACAACAACAACAACAAAAGAUUUCAUGAGCGAUUGACUAUACAGAAAAGUCCUCAAAGGGCAGAUGCUUCCAAACACACGAAGAAGAGAACACUGUUUACAACCAUUGCAAAACAAAGCAACACUCUGUCACUGAGAGACCACACCCACCAUGUAGUUUUAAGCCAUUACUUCAAGAUUUGUUACUUGACAGUUCCCUGUCUAAAGCUACAAGAUAUGCUGCACUUAAUAACAUUCUAUAAGGAGGGAGACAAACAUGCCAUCAGCAUAUAUCACUAGGAUUUUUAUUUUAUUUUUUAUGGUGAAGAAUCAGCAAGCAAACCACAUUCAGUCGAUUGAGUAAAGGUAUGCCAGGCAAGGAACCAAAGUUACUAUGAACAAUCUAUCCCUGCUGUGCAGGGGGGUUAUUUUAAACACGGACACCAACUUCCCAUGAAAGUCAUCGAUAAUAAAGGGGACAGAGCGGAAGAAACGUAUCCAGGACUCUUAAGGGGACAGUGACAAUAAAACAGUUGAUGUGGAAAGUCUGGCUUUCUUAAUACAGGGACGCUUUCUCUCUCUCUCUCUCUCUGAUUUUAAACUCAGGAACAAUGACAGCUGCAAUGUGAACAAAAGGGGGGAAACAUACUCUGUUUUUGUUUCAUAAUGGGUUGAAACUGACAAUGGGAUAGACGUGGUUGGAAUGUUAAUCUACUGCUGCUUGCAGUAUAGCAUGGGUGAUCCAUCUAGUGAGAAUGCCUGACAGUGCUCUUGAGAAUUCCUAACAAUGCUGUAGACUUAUUUGUCGCCAGGGUCCUUCUGCAAAGGGAGGAUGGCUGUUACAUCAAGUGAAGAACUUGACAAGGACGCAACACUCAUUUCACUAACCGUUUAAUGUAUCUUCGGCCACUGGAAUGGGGCGGAAAGGUCCUCCGACAAAGAAAUAGCUGUGUCAGAGAGGAAGCAAAUGCCUCUUAAUCUAACCUCAGCUUCCGAAGAGUUUCUGCCUCCACUCACUUGUACAAGUGAAAUCCUCCUAAACAAUUUGUUUUCCCCUGUCAUGUUGUGUUUUCCUAGUUGGCCGCAUGAACCAAAACGAUGAAACCUAGGAUGUACCCUUUAUUAUCUCACCCAUACAUGACCAGUACAUAUCUUGCUGUUGAGAUUAGGCUUGCGUUCAUCAUUAAGGCCUGCCUUUUAAUGCAGCAUUUAUCUUCAAGGUGACAAAUAACUCUCACUUGAUUUUGUAAGGUUUCUUGUUGGAUGUAGCACCUGCUUGUGGAAAUUCCUGCUUAGAAUCCUUGGUUUGUGUUUGGAGAAGUUCUGAUGACUGGCAACGUGCAUUGAGGGCGGAUGUCAUCCCUGUGCUGAAGGCAGCAGUAGAGCCUGGUUUGUUAUAUAGCGUGCGGAGAACCUCAGCUCUGUUCCCAGAAGCCUGCACUGACCUUCUCUUCCAUUUUACCACCUUAUGCCUCUUCUCCCUUACAGAGAUGGGAGAAAAAGCAAGGACUUAUCUUCCACCUGUGCACCUGCAGAAUUUAAAUACAUUUAGAAAUAUGAAUACGGCAAGCAUAGAAUUUGCUUGUGGUUGUUUGCUCCUAAUAACAGUGGCCAACAUAAGAUUAUGCUAUGCAUUGCUUAGCAUUCAAAAUGGGGGCUUCAUACAGACAUAAAGCAAAGUCUCUGAUUUUUUAAAUGCUGGAAUGCUGCAAGAGCACCCAUUGGUUCAUUGCCAUGCCAUCAUGUCUAACAUUCAUGCACAUUUAUCACCCCUACCUGCUCAGAACUGUCCUCCUGUUAGUGCCUUGUAAAGGCACAGUACCAAACAUUCAUACAAUCAAGAAAUCAGUAAUGAAGGGAUGAACAACAUUCUUACCUACAGUAGAUCCACACCGCAAUGUUAGUCUUAUAUCAGUUGAGUUUGCUGCAGCAACACCUUGAAAGCAUGAAGCUAUGUGGCUAGGGUUACCCAUGCAACUGCCCCUGGUGCCCAUGAAGGUUUUAAGAUCCUCCUUAUGAGGUGGUGACCUCCCACCUACCUGGAAAAGCACAUAGAAAUGAAAGAGGAAGUAUUAAGAACCACAGAUCUUGCACUUUCAGUUACUGCCAUGGUGCAAAGUAUGGAUGUGAGGCAUGGAUCCCAUCCAAACCACCAGUCAUGUCAUAGGUCACCUCUGUGACCUUAGGUGUGUUUUGUGACUUCUUGGUGGUUUUGUUAUUAUUACAAAUAAUGAGGAUUCAUGCCUUGGAUCCAUGUUUUUUAUCAUAUUGGCAAGCCCUGGAUCUGUCUUCUUUAUUGUGCAGUCUACCAAGGUUGGCUUUAACUUGAUGAUGGUUUAGGGGACUGGAGGGUAUAAAAACAUGCAAAUUCAACAGGAUCCAUUUUAAUUCCACUGGAUUCGACUUUUAUUCAGACCCCAUGGCAAAGCAAAGUUUAUGUGUGCGUUUUCUCCCAGCCAAAGGCUCACAAGCUCUGUUUCUCAGAUGUGUCCAUGAUCCCUUGUAACAGGUGCAUUGAAGGUUACAUUCUAACAGGCUUUAUUGCUAAAGUAAAACUUACAUAAGAGAUUCUGUACAGUUCUGAUUACAACCUAGGUUCAGAGUCACUCCUCCUCUAGCUCUGUCCCUUGUCCUCUCACACUACAUCUUCCAGCAUUCAAUGCUCCAAGCCCAUGGCUGAUUACUAGCAAUACUUUCAUACCCUCCAAUAUUCCUCAGAAAAUAAGGAUGUUCUAUUCUACAUCAGUAGAAUUAAUCUUAGAUCACCACAGAGCAUAAAAUGAGACAAAGGUUCCAUAGGUGUCACUUUCCUCCACCACAAAGGAAUAGCACUCAGCACAAUCAGUAGCGGUAAGAAAUUGGUCCUUCAGAGAAGCUUGCCUACCAUAAUUGAUCCUGUCAGUAAGGAACAGCUUGCUGUGUUCUGUCACUUAAAGUGAUAGAAGCUCUAUCCAUUUUCUGUGUCUUGUCCAUUAUAUUAUGUCCCUUUUGCAAUAUGAUGAGUGCAGAUCGGUACUGAAUGGUUAAGGUACUUUGCUGAGCAAAGUUUGUAACAUCUCAGUUUGGAAACAAAACACUGUGGUUUUCUAUCUGCUUGCUAUCAUUACUUUUCUAUGCGUCACACUCAUUUGUCUCUUAGCAUCUUGUGAGAAGCCAGGAUAGAGUUUACUUCCCAACGUUAAACCUGAAUUUGGUCCCAAAAUUCUUGUGCAGAGGUUUGCUGCACCACAAAGAGUUGUAUCUCCCAUACAAGAUGCUGAGUAGCCAGCAUUGUCUUCUGCACCUGACCUAAAUACUGAAAAAGAGCUUGCUUUGUCUUACCACAGUGUGGAUUGAUUCUGUCAAGUCAGGUUAAGGUUAUGAGAAGGCACAGUAAAGCUUCCCUGCAGAACAGGGCUGUGAUUUUCUUUGAAGCCAUUUCCUUUGCUCUUUGGAAUACCAGAAGGCUAAAUCAGCUUACUUGUGCUGCAAUUUACAUGGAACCUUACAAGAUGCAGUAUGUGUUGCAGGGCAUGUCCACACUGUGUGUUUGCAGCUUUUGCCAUGCCUGUUUAAAUUACGUAGUCCAUAUGACGAAUCUCAACACUAAUCUCAACGCUUUCCCCCAGAAAAUUCCCAGUUUACCCAAAAUGGGGAUAAUCCAAUAAAUUGUGGGGAAUCAGGCUCCAAAACACUCCACUUAUUUUGUUCCAGUUUCUUUGAGUGGAUCAUUCAUCACUAUCUACUACUCUCAUUUCCAUGCUUCUUCAAAACAUUCAUUUCUUUUUCUGCUGUGCUCCGCUAUUUCUGGCAUGCCCCUGAAUGGAAGAGGAAGCCAUAGCAAUCAAUCUAUCAUCUAUCUAUUAUCUAUUGUUUGAUCCUUCACAUUUGCAUAAAACUGCACAAGCAAAAAACAUUAAAAAAUAUCUACAAGAGAUACUGCACAGCAAUCUGAAAAUUGUGCUCAGAAAUUACGGUUGCUUUCAUUUAUUCCCCAGGCACAACCCUCAAUGGAGAAGCAUAGCCUCAAAAACAGCUCAACAACUUUGCCCCUCCCCCAAUAAAGCUCAACAACUUUGCCCCUCCCCCAAUAAAGCUCAACAACUUUGCCCCACAAAAAGCUCAACAGCUUUUAAAGUUAGGACUUGCUGAAAGGUGCUUGUGCUAACCUGUUGAGUGAAUACAGUUCUCAGGUGCCACUUGCAUUCUCCCAGCAAAACGAAAACCAACCUCCAUUUUAUGUUUCGUGUGCUCUUAUUAUUUAUCGUCUCCAUUUUUGUGUACAUUUCAUUUGGCAUCUCAGAAUUCUAGGCAUUGCAGGUUUACUACCAUAUCCCUGGUGAGUGUAUAAAUAUUUACCUGAGAAAUAUAUCCCUUUAUCAGCACUCUUUAAAUUAACAAUAACACUGCCCAGAAUGGGAUCUACAAUUUUCAAUUUUCUGCAAUUUUCAAUUUUCUGGAAUCUAGCAAAAAGUAUGCAUAUCACUGAUGGUAAGAGAACAUGGCUGGUUGAUGGAAUUUUUGUUUUCAUGAAUUGGGGCCAGGAGUGAAAAAGAGCCAUGCAGGCAAAUGGAAUACCCACACAAUUAUCUUUAUUCUCCCAGUGGAAAUAACUGGUGUCAGAUGAAAUACAGUUUAUGAGAUUUUAUGGUAAUUCUUACCUUAUCUUCAAAUUGUCUGAGGCCCUGUAAUUACUGUGGAAUCCACCUUCAGUAUACAAAAUAUUUCCCAUUCUUUCAGGGAGAGAGUGUUGUUCAUCCCAUCAAGCCAGAUUUCCAUUGCUAAAAAUACAGGCAUACACACACACACACACACACACACACACACACACACAGGUCCUGUGACCGUCUUAUAUUUUCUCUCGUUAGCACUGAUGCAAUAUUUGCAAUGUAAAACAUGCAUUGCCCUUUAACACUACAUCCCCGAAUUCUAAAAUAUGCAAAUAAUUAUGGCAGUCAUAUGUAGGGGCAAAUAACACUGGUACUAUGCCACACAAUUUAUAACAUUUCCCAAACAUGUGGCUUGGAAUUAAGACCCUUUAGAAUCCUGCAAUAGCAGCCCAGAAUGCUGCAAUAUGAUUUUCAUUGUACCACGGGGUCUUUGGGCCAGUGCUGCCAUUUUUCCUAUAUCCAUUUUUGUUUUGUUUGAAAUGUACACCAUUAUAGGACUGCUUCCUGAAUACCCAGUUUCGCACUUUAGAGUGCUUUUAACAUGUGGAAAUUUGCCUUGUGUGCCCACAUGCCAGUUACCACAGGUGGUGCCAAUUAUUCCUCUGAAUACAUCAAUAAAAAAACAGUCCAAAUAUGAACAACUUGUACCUUCGUUGGAUAACAACUGUCUGAUGUGACCUUAUGUUUUAAUCUUGUAUAUGCCUACCAUGUUCUCUGUUCUGAUCUACUGCAAAUAUCAUUCAUAUAAUGUGUAAUUUACAUGCCUAUGUCAUUCAGUUUUAUGCAUUUUUACCAUUUGGGAUCUCCAGUAUUGGUUCCUGUAAAGACCCAUGGGUCUUCAGCUAUAGACAAGAAGGUUGCCUUGUCAGUCUAUGGCGUUUUGUCUUCUGUCACACUGUUCUUGUUACGAGACAUAGUUUGAUUUCUACUUAAAUGAAUGGCUAAAUUUUCAUGGAUUUCCAUGGUUUUUCCAGUCCUUCCAUGGGAAGAUGGAACUGCUUAAGGUGAUGUUCCACAGCAUUCUUAGCAUGCUGAAGAAAUUUACAUGUUUUCAGUUCUGUCUUUGGUACUGCAAUAUGUUCCUUGUGUAUGCAUGUUCAUCUCACUUUCUCUAAUACAUACAGCCAAUCCUUUCAUUAAGGCUCUGAAGGAGGGUGGACAACCACCAGCCCCUUGGUGACAAUUCUGUGACUCAUAUAGUACAGAGUGGUCUGUCAGAUUUGCUCUGUAGACUUUGAAGGCGCUUUUCUCUCUCUUCAGUGCAACACAAUCUGUGCCUAAUAUUCUUGACACUGACUUUGCAAACCCUCUGCUGAUCAAAAUGAGUUCACCUUUUGAAAUAUGUACGUAGAAGCAAAUACAUGCAUAUGUUACUGUACAUAUAUCUAUCUCCAGUGUAUAUAGUAGGAUGCUCUUAGAUCUUAUAAAAAAAGUGUACUUCCAAUUCUAAGAAUGAGGAUGUGGGGCCAAGGGUGGUUCAAAGGUGAUGUGACUAGUGUGAAUGAAUGGCAUGACUUUCAGCUCCUGGGGAAUUUGGUGGCAAAUCUGCAGUUCCACCCUGCAGUGAAACUGCAGCCGUUGCACCAUUCCCAGCUAAGCAGGCCUCUCUGUGCAUGUACAGAUAGACCUAGUGCAUCAUCAAAGCCAGAGGUGGCCUGGACUCACCAGAAUCUGGUACUUCAGAAAAGUGGAAUCAGGACUUCCAAAUUCCAAAAGAAGUUAUGGAGCAUUCAAAGUGGGUGGGGCAAAUCAGUGUCCACUGAGCCUUUUCCUGAAAUGGAGUCCAUGGCACCGCCCAGUUUGAGCAGUUCCUCUUGUUUCAGUUUGGCAUCUCAUUGACAAUUCAAGUGUUUUCUUUUUAACGUCAGCGUGUGACUCUUUUCGGGCUCUUUUUUGCCAUGUGGCCCCUCAAUUGACAAGGAGCAUGGAGAAAGACCCCUCAAACUGACCUUUGAAGUGCACAUAAGGGGGAAAUGCUUUGAAUGGCAAACUCUGGGCAAAAGAUAGUCCCACGUCACGCAAUUCAGCAGUAUUACUACUCACAUGGAUCACAGUGGCAAGCCUUCUCUUUUGACAUAUCAAAAGGGCACAUUAUAUAGUUUACUUGUAACUACAGCAAACUUCCCAGUUUCUCGAUUUGAGGGCAGUAUGAAGACACUGUGAAUCUCCAAAGUGUUUCUCUCUGCUCUAUCCCGUUUGGACUAAGCUAGCCAACCCCUUUUUAAUCCCACUGCAUUUAGAUUCAGCAAAUUGCUCCUGCGUUGGACAAAAGUUCCACUUUCUCUCCACUGCAUCUCCCUGUAUAUAAAUUGAUCCCAUUUUUGUGUCUAUAAUUCCAGAAGAGAAUUGUAAAUUAUUUGGCAGAAUGACCCUUUGAUAAACACUGCGGCCAUGUAUAUGUACUGUACGUAUUAACGUGUAGAUGAGAAUCCUUAUUGUAUGUAAAGUUUUAUGAAUGGUUAUUUUUUAAUUUAUGUAUUUAAUAUAGGAUUCAAUGACCUCUGGUGUUUUAGUUUGUAUAAAAAAAUAAAAAUAAAACAGCAGCAUUUUUUAAAACUUCACUUUA